AUGUUGAAGCUUUACAGAAACAGUUUUCUGUAAAAACCUUUGCUAAAUGACUCUAUAAAUGUCAUUCUUAGCCAAAUCUUGGAUUUCAAUGAGCCAGAAAUGAAAAUAAAUAGAACCUUCCUUAGUUGUAAGCUCCCCACAUGUUUAAGCUUAUUAGCUGCUUACCUUUUCUUGGUGUGUCCAUUUGGCUUCUCAUCAGGAGGCAGCUCAAUAAUGAGCUGACAAGACUGAGCAUGAUCGAAGUUGUUUGGAGUCUUGGGUGAGCACUGCGUGUCCAACAUAAACACCUGCAAAGGAGAUUCAAUCAACUUUUCUGACUUCUGACCUCUGUCAGCAGAAAAAGUCACUGGUACAUGGUGAUCCCUGAAUAGGAUUUCAAGUGAGCCUGCCUGAUAAGAGAAGGAGGGCAGCAUCCAGAUGCCCAACUUGAAAGGCACGAGAUGACUCGAACCUUCUCUGGCUCCACCUGCCAACAAUUUACCUUCACUGGCUUGAGUGUGGCUGAGAACGCAUCCUGCAGGGCACAGCAGGCAAGCCUCCACAUUUCUUCAGUGAACACAGGUCCUGCUGUGACAAGGACGUACCUGCUCAAAGAAACCAGGAAAGAAGUCUUGAAUCUGUACCUUUUGUCGCCCUUACAGACGAAUGCACAUAUUUGUUCCACAGCUUCCAUUCAAGUCUUGCUGCCUCUUAUUACACUUGUCUUCAAUCCAACUGGUAUCCUAUCUAUUGUCACAACACUAUUUCCUAAGGUAUUUUCCUAUAAAAAUAUCAAAUAGCAAUGGGUCCCCAUUACAGAGAGGGCAAUGUCUCAACUUAGGCUUUGCAUGCAAGACUGUAUAUAUAUUCUGUACUAAUUUUUCUAUUCUAGCCUCAUUUUCUACUACUCCUCUACAAAUAACAACCAAAAUAAUAAAGACUCUGUUGUCAUUUAUGACUCAGAUCUCCAUGCUUAUGUUUGUGAUGUUCUGCUUGCAAGUCCCCAUCUAUCAAGAUCUUGCCCACUUUGGGUGAUCUGACCAAAUGUCAUUAAUAUAAAAAGUCCUUGCUGACAUCCUACUCCCCUGUCCUCCUUGGCAUGUACAGUAACUCCUAACUAUUGUCAUUUUUCAUGUGUCUCUCUCUGUUAUGUCCUUUAGAAAAGGCUAUAAGCCUCUUUGAGGGUAGGGACCUUGACUUCCUAUGCACAGAGUAUCUCUCUUUGUAUAAUGCCUUACACAUUGAAAUGAAGCAUUAUUAGCAUAUACAUAUAGACAUUUUUACUUGUAGAAAGCAGUCCAAAAAGUGGAUUGCUACAAUAAGAGAAUUUAACUCCCUUGGAUUUCAUAAUAAAAAUUCUUAACUUUAAAAAAAAAAAAAAAAA